CCUACGGGAGGCAGCAGUGGGGAAUAUUGCACAAUGGGGGAAACCCUGAUGCAGCGACGCCGCGUGGGUGAAGAAGUAUUUCGGUAUGUAAAGCCCUAUCAGCAGGGAAGAAAAUGACGGUACCUGACUAAGAAGCCCCGGCUAACUACGUGCCAGCAGCCGCGGUAAUACGUAGGGGGCAAGCGUUAUCCGGAUUUACUGGGUGUAAAGGGAGCGUAGGUGGCGUGCCAAGUCAGGAGUGAAAACCCAGGGCCCAACCCUGGGACUGCUCUUGAAACUGGCAGGCUUGAGUGCUGGAGAGGUAAGCGGAAUUCCUAGUGUAGCGGUGAAAUGCGUAGAUAUUAGGAGGAACACCAGUGGCGAAGGCGGCUUACUGGACAGUGACUGACACUGAGGCUCGAAAGCGUGGGGAGCAAACAGGAUUAGAUACCC
rnacentral:rRNA from 1 species